rnacentral:rRNA from 1 species
AGGGUUUGAUCAUGGCCCAGAACGAACGCUGGCGGCGUGGUUAAGACAUGCAAGUCGAACGCUUAUUUCAUUGUAGCAAUACAGUGAAGUAGGAGUGGCGCAAGGGUGCGUAACACGUGGGUAAUUUGCCGUAGAGUUGGGGAUAACUUGCUGAAAGGCGAGCUAAUACCGGAUGUGGUUUUUGGGAGGCAUCUCCUUGAGACUAAAGUUGGGGACCGCAAGGCCUGACGCUCUAUGAUAAGCCCGCGGCCUAUCAGCUAGUUGGUGAGGUAACGGCUCACCAAGGCUAAGACGGGUAGCUGGUCUGAGAGGACGACCAGCCACACUGGAACUGAGACACGGUCCAGACACCUACGGGUGGCAGCAGUCGAGAAUUUUUCUCAAUGGGCGAAAGCCUGAAGGAGCGACGCCGCGUGGGGGAUGAAGGGUUUCGAUCCGUAAACCCCUGUCAUUUGUGAACAAUGUUUAUUCGUGAAUAACGGAUGAAUUGAUAGUAACGAAAGAGGAAGGGACGGCUAACUCUGUGCCAGCAGCCGCGGUAAUACAGAGGUCCCAAGCGUUGUUCGGAUUCACUGGGCGUAAAGGGUGCGUAGGUGGCGGGGUAAGUUUGAUGUGAAAUCUCCGAGCUUAACUCGGAAAUGGCAUUGAAUACUAUUCUGCUCGAGGUUUGGAGGGGGGACUGGAAUUCUCGGUGUAGCAGUGAAAUGCGUAGAUAUCGAGAGGAACACCAGUGGCGAAGGCGAAUCCCUGGACAACACCUGACACUGAGGCACGAAAGCUAGGGGAGCAAACAGGAUUAGAUACCCUGGUAGUCCUAGCCCUAAACGGUGCACGUUUGCUGUAAGAGGAAUCGACCCCUUUUGUGGUGAAGCUAACGCGUUAAACGUGCCGCCUGGGGAGUACGGUCGCAAGAUUAAAACUCAAAGAAAUUGACGGGGGCCUGCACAAGCGGUG